UAGAAAAUUUUAACGAAAUAAAACCAAAAAAUGUUAAUAUAAUUGCAGCAUUAAUUGUUAUGAUUAAUAACGUAUAUACCGCAAAUCGAACUGAGUCAAUAUUGAAAAAUGCUGCCAGUAUUGUAGAAACUAACUUAGUUGAAGUGGAUAAAAU